rnacentral:misc_RNA from 1 species
GAUGAAGAACGUAGCGAAAUGCGAUAAGUAGUGUGAAUUGCAGAAUUCAGUGAAUCAUCGAAUCUUUGAACGCACAUUGCGCCCCUUGGUAUUCCAUGGGGCAUGCUUGUUCGAGCGUCAUUUGUACUCUCAAGCUCUGCUUGGUGUUGGGUGUUUGUCCUUUCCCUGCGUUAGGACUCGCCUCAAAUUCAUUGGCAGCCGAUAUAUUGGUUUGAAGCGCAGCACAAUUUGCGAUUCGGGCUGGUUAUUGUUGGCGUCCAGUAAGCACAUUUAACACUUUUGACCUCGGAUCAAGUAGGGAUACCCGCUGAACUUAAGCAUAUCAAUAAGCGGAGGA